CCUACGGGUGGCAGCAGUGCGGAAUCUUGGUCAAUGGGCGCGAGCCUGAACCAGCCAAGUCGCGUGAGGGAAGACGGUCCUAUGGAUUGUAAACCUCUUUUGUCGGGGAGCAAAAGACGCCACGCGUGGCGUUCCGAGAGUACCCUAAGAAAUAGCAUCGGCUAACUCCGUGCCAGCAGACGCGGUAAUACGGGGGAUGCGAGCGUUAUCCGGAUUUGUUGGGUUUAAAGGAUGCGCAGGCGGAAGAUCAAGUUAGCGGUAAAAUUGAGAGGCUCAACCUCGUCGAGCCGUUGAAACUGGUUUUCUUGAGUGAGCGAGAAGUAUGCGGAAUGCGAGGUGUAGCGGUGAAAUGCAUAGAUAUCACGCAGAACUCCGAUUGCGAAGGCAGCAUACCGGCGCUCAACUGACGCUCAUGCACGAAAGUGUGGGUAUCGAACAGGAUUAGAUACCCGGGUAGUC
rnacentral:rRNA from 1 species